GACGAACGCUGGCGGCGUGCUUAACACAUGCAAGUCGAACGGAAAGGCCCUGCUUGCCGGGUACUCGAGUGGCGAACGGGUGAGUAACACGUGGGUGAUCUGCCCUGCACUUCGGGAUAAGCCUGGGAAACUGGGUCUAAUACCGGAUAGGAGCCAUUUUUAGUGUGAUGGUUGGAAAGUUUUUUCGGUGUAGGAUGAGCUCGCGGCCUAUCAGCUUGUUGGUGGGGUAAUGGCCUACCAAGGCGGCGACGGGUAGCCGGCCUGAGAGGGUGGACGGCCACAUUGGGACUGAGAUACGGCCCAGACUCCUACGGGAGGCAGCAGUGGGGAAUAUUGCACAAUGGGCGCAAGCCUGAUGCAGCGACGCCGCGUGGGGGAUGACGGCCUUCGGGCUGUAAACUCCUUUCGCUAGGGACGAAGCUUUUUGUGACGGUACCUAGAUAAGAAGCACCGGCUAACUACGUG
rnacentral:rRNA from 1 species